rnacentral:rRNA from 1 species
UUCGUAGGUGGUGCGGCAAGUUGGGAGUGAAAUCUCUGGGCUUAACUCAGAGGCUGCUUUCAAAACUGCCGUGCUCGAGUGCGGGAGAGGCCAGUGGAAUUGCAGGUGUAGCGGUGAAAUGCGUAGAUAUCUGCAGGAACACCCGUGGCGAAGGCGGCUGGCUGGACCGCAACUGACACUGAGGAACGAAAGCUAGGGGAGCAAACAGGAUUAGAUACCCUGGUAGUCCUAGCCCUAAACCAUCAGGACUUGGGGUGGCUCGCGUAGGCGAGUCGUCCCGUAGCUAACGCGUUAAGUCCUGCGCCUGGGGAGUACGGUCGCAAGACUGAA